AUCUAACUGUCGAAUUUCAAAUAGAAUGAAACGCGUGUCCUGGAU
rnacentral:hammerhead_ribozyme from 1 species